CUUGGUUCAGGACGAACGCUGGCGGCGUGCCUAACACAUGCAAGUCGAGCGAGGAGAUCCUUCGGGAUGAUCCUAGCGGCGGACGGGUGAGUAACACGUGGGCAACCUGCCUCAUAGAGAGGAAUAGCCUUCCGAAAGGGAGAUUAAUACCUCAUAACAUUGCAGUUUCGCAUGGAACAGCAAUUAAAGGAGCAAUCCGCUAUGAGAUGGGCCCGCGGCGCAUUAGCUAGUUGGUGAGGUAACGGCUCACCAAGGCGACGAUGCGUAGCCGACCUGAGAGGGUGAUCGGCCACAUUGGGACUGAGACACGGCCCAGACUCCUACGGGAGGCAGCAGUGGGGAAUAUUGCACAAUGGGGGAAACCCUGAUGCCAGCAACGCCGCGUGAGUGAUGACGGCCUUCGGGUUGUAAAGCUCUGUCUUCAGGGACGAUAAUGACGGUACCUGAGGAGGAAGCCACGGCUAACUACGUGCCAGCCGCCGC
rnacentral:rRNA from 1 species